CUACCAGACUAUGUUUGAAUACGGCAUACCCAUGAAUUCUGGAACUGUUAUUUCUUAACCCAGUUUGGAGGAUAAGAGCUUACCAACUAGUUAUAAAUAUGCUGAGGUGAUGUAUUGCAAAAUAGCCAACAUACAACAAUUAAAGGAUAAUUGCAGCCUACAUCCUGAUGAAGAUAUGGAAUACCCUCUGUCUGGUCAACAGGAGUUUAAAUAUGGAUGGGACAGUGAUGUGGCAGCUCUUCCCUAGCUCAUUCACCUCUUGCCUUCAUUUGUGGACUGGAGACUGGAGAGGGUCAAUGUGCAACUGAAGCUACUGAUUGUGCUGUGUGAUGAGCAUCAAUCCAUGCUUUGAGGGGGAUGAAUCAGCACAGCCCUGCCUGCUCUGCGUUGGGAACAGAAGUUGCAUCCAGAAUUUUUGCAUCAUUCUGGACCAAAAAGCCAUUCCCUGCAUGAUGAAGACCACUGAUGCAGCCUUCCACUACAUCAUGAGUAAAACAACUACAGAACUAAAUACCAGGUUGGAACGUGUUUAAGAAAAAUGAAACGUCUUUUGAAUUGAAAUGUCUGUUUUGUUAUGGAAAAAUCUUUAGUAUUGUGAAGGAUAAGCAUUUCUGCCUGCCAGUAAGGUAAUUGCAUGUAUUUUAAUGUUCAAGUUUUGAGUAGGGUGGCUAAUUUUUUUUAACUCUUAUUUGAUUUAUUAAAAACUUUAUAAUAAGUGGUUUUCAUGUCACUGCGCUGUGGUAUAAGAUAACUUUCAUUAUUCCAUACUGUAUUAUGUUUUUUAAUUGUAGCUGAGGUAUUUAAAUAAGCAGUGUUAAAUGCAAAGUGUUGUGUGUAUCAAUGUAAAUAUUAAAUGUGAUUUACUUUAAUAAAAAGAGGUUUUGCAAUAU